CUUCACCACCCGCGGCGCUAGCCAACGCUAAUCCAGCCAAGGGUCUCUGACUGAACUUGGAGCCCACUGAGUUGGCUUCCCAGGCAGGAAUGUUCCCAACGUUGCCUCCCAGUGAGGGGAUCACAUGUAUGUCACAGCUGACACACAUGCUUUUGAGGCUGACAGUGAAAUUGCAUCAAGGGGUGGAAUCUUAGCGGAAAG